AAAAUGUUUAAUCUAUUCACUGAUUCUAUCAUUUCUGUUUAUAGGAGAGGUCUCCUCACAAUUUACAUGGCAAAUCAAGCCACAGAAACGUUGUUCCGAAUGGCAGUAGCAAGAGGAGCAAUCACACCAUUAAGACAUGGAGAAAUACUUCCUCUGAUCUUUUUCAAUUAAUUAGCCUCAAGGGUUGGAGACCAUCAGGCAGAUAAGCAGUGCGAGCUCGUAACCAUGAUCAGGAAGGAAGGAAGUGGGUGAAAACACUUCUGUGUGGUGAUGGUGAACUGCGAGUGUCCUGUGACACCGUAACCUGGGCAUUCUUGGGGCUUGGUUGUAAAUCAGUUCAUGUUAGAAUGGGAAAAAUAAAAAGGUCUCUUUUCUCUCUUAAACUCUUGUCAGGCUCUAUGCAGAGCAAAGAUUAUUGUGACUCACAGAAGAUCUCUUCACUACAUUUCACUGUGGAAUUGUAAUUUAUUAGUUAGAAAAUGAGGAGGGAUAUUAAUCAAAUGAUUUUUUUUUUCCAGAGGAAAUAUAAUUAUUAAGAGUCAUAUUAAAUUUUCUUUAGCUCUUCCAAGAAAUUGCUAAAUAUUUGCACAGUGCGUAACUAGAAAGGAAGCCAGAACAAAAGCUGAAUGUGAGAUAAAGUUGACUGCAUUCUGUUUGAGAAGUGUGAAGUUGGCAGCUGAAAUGGAAGCUGAGCAACUUGUUUAUUGGCAAUUGCAAACUAUGCAAGCGGCAGUCUGAAUGUGCAGAAGUGCUGUUGGGUUUUCCUAACAAUAUUUAGAUUCUAGACCCCUUUAAUAUUUAGGAGGGAGCGAAAAUGUUGAAUACUAGAAGGAAAUAUUAAUGCAGAUACUUAUUUGUUUUAAAUUCUUUUUAAAAAUUACAGUAUGUUAAACAGUUUAAUGGAGAAACAUUUCUUCUAUGCAGACAAAACAGAAUGCAUGAAAGGUUACUCAUUAUAAUCCAGUUGUCAUCAACAGGUGGAUUUAUAAUAUUCCUUGUUUAGGGUAAAUGUCUUUUCUGGUGUUUCCAACCUUUUCCUCUUCCUUGAACUCAAGUCAUGAAGCUUACAGAAUUUUUGAAUCUUGCUUUAAUUGUCCUUGAAGAAAUUGAAAGAUGAGGUGAUGCUGGAUAUUUGACUUUUGGGUAUGGUUUAUAAAUUUACUGCUGAGAGUUUAGAAAAUUGUCCUGCCAAAAGUACUUACAAAUUUGUGUACAUAAUGCUAAUAGCCAUUGAAAUUUAGAUCAUUAAUGUUCCUGAGGAAUCUUCUUGACAGUUGUAUUGCUUCUGGUUUGACUGAAAUGUUGCAGCAUCCCUGGGAGGGAAUCAAACCCAGAAGGAGAAUUUACUUUCGGGAAUCAAUAUGUUGCCUUGUUAAUGAGUUAUUUCUGUCAACUGCUUUGUCCUGGGGAUGGAGUGUGGGGCAGAAUCUUGUAAGGUUUCAUCAUAGAAUCAUAGAAUUGCUCAGGUUGGAAAAGACCUUUAAGAUCUUCGAGUCCAACCACAAC